rnacentral:misc_RNA from 1 species
CCAAUGAAAAUAGUUCGGGCUGCGCCUUGCAACAACCACAUGGCCAGGAGCCCAGCUCCUGGAGGCGCGGCUGCCGACAUCCUGUGUCUAUGAGUACCGUUUGUUCCCUCGGCGGGGCGCAUACCCCGCCGAUGGGCCACCUUAAAACCCCCUUUGAGCGAAGCACUAUAUACCUCUGAUCGUGGGCUUGAAUUGUUUA